rnacentral:rRNA from 1 species
GACGCCGCGACCCGUCUUUUUGCGGCUCUACGGCCCGGGUGCGCAGGCCGCGCUCGCCUCUCGGGGCGAGUCGCGGAGCCCCGGUGUUCCCGAGCCGCGAUCGACGGUGUUAACGACGGACCAACCCCGCUGCUAUUCGUAGCGCCCGUGCCUCGCGCGAGCGUCGGCCCGCUAGACGCGCGCGGACUAGUUCCGCCGCGUUCGGGUUUCGGCGUUGUCGGCGUGAGGAAUUCUCGGGCAGGGAUCAGUGUCUUGUCUGCGGCGCUAAACUAGAGCGACCCACCCGGCCCGUCUUGAAACACGGACCAAGGAGUCUAACAUGUACGCGAGUCAUUGGGCACCACUACACCCAAGGGCGCAUUGAAAGAAAAGGCGGGCUGUAAUGGCCCGCCUCGGGAAGAUGGGGCGGCGCUCGCGUCGCUCCCGCACUCCCGGGGCGUCUCAUCCUAGCCGGUCCUCGCGGCCGUGCAAGGCGAGGCGCACCAAGAGCGUACACGUUGGUACCCGAAAGAUGGUGAACUAUGCCUGGUGAGGACGAAGUCAGGGGAAACCCUGAUGGAGGUCCGUAGCGAUUCUGACGUGCAAAUCGAUCGUCGGAACUAGGUAUAGGGGCGAAAGACUAAUCGAACCAUCUAGUAGCUGGUUCCCUCCGAAGUUUCCCUCAGGAUAGCUGGCGCUCAGAGAACCGAGUCCCAUCCGGUAAAGCGAAUGAUUAGAGGCCUUGGGUUCGAAACGUUCUCAACCUAUUCUCAAACUUUAAAUGGGUGGGAUCCGCGGCUUGCUUAACGGUGAAGCCGCGGUCUCGGAUCGGAGUGCCCAGUGGGCCAUUUUUGGUAAGCAGAACUGGCGCUGUGGGAUGAGCCAAACGCCGGGUUAAGGCGCCCGAAUAGAUGCUCAUUGACACCAUGAAAGGUGUUGGUUGCUUAAGACAGCAGGACGGUGGCCAUGGAAGUCGCAUCCGCUAAGGAGUGUGUAACAACUCACCUGCCGAAGCAACUAGCCCUGAAAAUGGAUGGCGCUGAAGCUUCUUGCCUAUACCCGCCGCCGGCGGACAGACGGCGCGCGGCCUCGGUUCGCGCGUCACGUAAGUCCCCGGCGAGUAGGAGGGUCGCGACGGUGUGCGUAGAAUGGGUCUGGGCGCGAGCCUGCCUGGAGCCGCCGUCGGUGCAGAUCUUGGUGGUAGGUAGCA